UAGGGAAUCUUCGGCAAUGGGGGCAACCCUGACCGAGCAACGCCGCGUGAGUGAAGAAGGUUUUCGGAUCGUAAAGCUCUGUUGUAAGUCAAGAACGAGUGUGAGAGUGGAAAGUUCACACUGUGACGGUAGCUUACCAGAAAGGGACGGCUAACUACGUGCCAGCAGCCGCGGUAAUACGUAGGUCCCGAGCGUUGUCCGGAUUUAUUGGGCGUAAAGCGAGCGCAGGCGGUUUGAUAAGUCUGAAGUUAAAGGCUGUGGCUCAACCAUAGUUCGCUUUGGAAACUGUCAAACUUGAGUGCAGAAGGGGAGAGUGGAAUUCCAUGUGUAGCGGUGAAAUGCGUAGAUAUAUGGAGGAACACCGGUGGCGAAAGCGGCUCUCUGGUCUGUAACUGACGCUGAGGCUCGAAAGCGCGGGGAGCGAACAGGAUUAGAUACCCUGGUAGUCCACGCCGUAAACGAUGAGUGCUAGGUGUUGGAUCCUUUCCGGGAUUCAGUGCCGCAGCUAACGCAUUAAAGCACUCCGCCUGGGGAGUACGACCGCAAGGUUG
rnacentral:rRNA from 1 species